GAUGAACGCUGGCGGCGUGCCUAAUACAUGCAAGUCGAGCGAACGGACGAGAAGCUUGCUUCUCUGAUGUUAGCGGCGGACGGGUGAGUAACACGUGGAUAACCUACCUAUAUGACUGGGAUAACUUCGGGAAACCGGCGCUAAUACCGGAUAAUCUUUUGAACCGCAUGGUUCAAAAGUGAAAGACGGUCUUGCUGUCACUUAUAGAUGGAUCCGCGCUGCAUUAGCUAGUUGGUAAGGUAACGGCUUACCAAGGCAACGAUGCAUAGCCGACCUGAGAGGGUGAUAGGCCACACGGGAACUGGGACACGGUCCUGACUCCUACGGGAGGCAGCAGUAGGGUAUCUUCCGCAGUAGGCGAAAGCCUGACGGAGCAACCGCGAGUGAGAUAUGAAGGUCUUCGGAUCGUAAAACUCUGUUAUUAGGGAAGAACAUAUGUGUAAGUAACUGUGCACAGCUUGACGGUACCUAAUCAGAAAGCCACGGCUAACUACGUG
rnacentral:rRNA from 1 species